ensembl:lncRNA
AUGUCCGUUUCAAAGCUUCUUAUUUCCUUCCUUUCCUUCGGUUUUCCUUCUCCAGGCGCAUUCAAUCUGCCGGAGGAGAAGGUGGGGGCGGAGGAGGAGGGGAAGAGAAAGAGUAGAAGUUUGCCAACAAUAAACUUUGUGCCGGCGAGCGCAGGGAGUCGGCAGUGGAGGGCACUACUGGGUCUCUGGGCGUCACAGCAGGGACCUCGGACCCAAAAGAUUCUGCCGGGAGCUGGAGCCGGCACACACACACUCACACACACACAACCCGACUCCUCUUUGUUCCCGGCUCGAGUUUCUUCAGUCUGGCUCGCUCGCUCUUUUGCUCGCCGCUCUCCACGCCUCCGCCGGGCCGCUUGUCAAAGAGCUGUACCUCCGGUUCCCCCGGCCAGGGGGUGGGAGACGCCUGGAGCUUGGCCGCGUGCGGAGCUGCGGAUGCGUCCCAGCUCCUCCGCCGCCGCAGAGCGCACAGCCUGGUCCCUCCUCCGCGCCCUGCCCCGCAGUCUCUCCCCCACCUCUUUUCCGCCUCUCCCUCUCCCUCCCUUGCUCUGGCAGUGGGAAGAAGAUGAAAGAGAAGCCGCCGCAGCUGUGAUCGACACCACAGUGAUAGAUGCUCUGACAGAGGGGAUGAGGCGGGAAUCGGGGACACAGAGAAGGGAAAGGGGAAACAUAACACAUUGCUCAACUAAUGAGAGAACGGAAGCAAGAAGAACAAGAAAGAGUUGUGGCUUUCCUAAAUACAUGUAAAAGGACAAGGGAACACAUGCUAACAAAAAUAAAACCUCCAGACUUAACGAGAAAAAUAGGAGGAAGAAAAAACCGAAGACUGAAUCGUAAUUAUCGCUUUUUAAGCAAGAUCUUUUUCAUUACAUCCUCACCAUAGGAUGCUCACACACAGUUACACUAGGUCGCUCGUGUAUUUUCGAAGAUACAUGCCACAAUGUGUGGGAACCUCAUAAAGAACGAAAACCACCCAAGUUGGGGAGGCAAAAGGACCCAGGAGAGUGAAGCCGGUAGAAGGAGGGAGGACAGGGCAGUCUCUGGCACCUCAGACUUUGGGCUCAAAGAGACCCUUGAAGAUGCAAAUCCAAAUUCAACCUCAAAAAUUUCCCAGCCUCCACUGUCUCUUUGAUGCAUUUUGUACAAGGACAGGACUUUUAAGGAGAUGCUUUGUGAAAGUUACAGUAUAAACGAAGCUGAAGUUUGAAAACAUCACAUUUUGUUCCUUGGCUCUCAAACUCCCUCAGUUAAAAAUCCAGGCAAAAUUAUUAUACCCAAUACAGUAGCCAUCUGUAAAACCUCAGAACAGUAAACAAGAGACAGGAAGAAAUGUGUCUCCAUCUCCCUUAAAUUGAAAAUGGGGAAAACAUUACAGAAUCAGACUUUAGCUCUGUUAUAUAGGAAUAGGCAUGUAAAGAUCCCUCUUCUUUUGUGUAAGGGAGAAAUUGCAUGCUGCUAGACAUCGUAUAAGUAAAGAUGUUAACAAUGCUCUAAACGAGCACUCAAAAUAUCGCUUAUUGGUAAUUACUUGAGAUGGGAAUCCACUAGGAAACAAUUUUUAAAACUAUCAUUUAAAGCAUUCAGUUGGUCUCAUAGAGCAUGGCCAGUAGUCACAGGGAAAAUUUCUGUCUCAGGUUCUGUUCAGUUCAGUCGCUCAGUCGUGUCCCACUCCUUGUGUCUCAGGUUAGGGUAACAUUAAAGGGCUGGUGAUGGGAGCCAGAGAGAGUAAAGCAUUAAAUCCUCUGCAAAUAGGUGAGAAUGCUAUGCCUUAAAGAAUAUUUUCUACAAUGUGUAAGGCAAUACUAAAAAGAUGGGGGGAAACCCAAUUUUACUUUUUGGUUGGUAACAUGCAACUUCACUAGGCACCGGUGAGUGUGAUGUCUCAGAGAUGUGAACAUGUAGCUAUGUCAGACAUUUAUUCCCUCUGUUUUGGAGAAGGAAAUGGCAACUCACUCCAGUAUUCUUGCCUGGGAAAUCCCAUGGACAGAGGAGCCUGGAAGGCUACAGUCAAUGGGGUCUCAGAGUCAGACACGACUUAGUGACUGAGCACACAUACCCUCUGUUCUAAAAGAAAUAUGGGAAAACAAAGUAAAAAGUCCUCCCAUAAAUGCGCCAAUUCGACGGACAGGAAAAGAACUGGAAAAUGCAGUUUCACCAAAACAGCCAGAGUAGAGAUUCCUUUUCAUCAGACUGUCAAGGGGUGGGGGUGGGGGGAUUUUCUGGAAGCCAAAGAGAUUAAAUGACGGCUCCUACAUCUGCCCCCCUCCCCGUUAAAGUGUCGCAACUAAUUCGAAUCCCAUUUACUCCUUCAUGUUAAUUAUCUGGACUCCCUGAGUCAUUUGGAGCUCAGCUCCAGGUGUCCUGGAGAUUAAGAGCUCGAGAAGAUGGGAAUUGGGGGAACAGUAACUAGUGGGAACUGUUUGCUAUAAGGGCUGAGGGUAGGUGGCUGCGUUUUGCAUUUUGCGGCAAACCUCACCUUUGGAAACACUGUUUCUAACGAAAUCACCCAGCGUCUUACUCUAUUUGCGUGACUGUUUUCCCUCCCCGUGGCGUGCGGGGUGUUUCGUUCGCUGAUUGUCCUUAGCAUUGUUGCAAGUCUUCUGACAAGGUGCAUUUAAAAGGGGCUUUUCUAGAAAGCAUUCAUUCAAGUUUUUUUUUUUUUAAAGCUUUGUCUGGGAGGGAGAUGGACAUUUCCACGCGAAGUCUGUCUCUUCAGGGAGAAAAGCUGGGAGACACUGGACGGGCGAGGCAACCCCGGGGAAGGCGUUCCUUCCCUCCUUUACAGGUUCAGUGAACUUCCUGGCAAAGGUAUUUGUGUCGCGGAGAGGUCUCUUCUAAUUCGUGUGGGGCUGCUAGUAACAUACACAGCCGCCUUUUGGGGCGCAAGGUCCGGGACCUGGUGGGUGUUGCGAGCGCGAGACACCGCCGCCCCCUUCUCUCGGAUGUAGAGGCAGGUUGUUCGUGUGAACUCGAGCGAACGACUGAAGGUUAGCUGUUGCAGGUUCACUCCUUCAGGAUGUGGGUUUCAGGGGGCGUUUUGAUGUGAUUUAAUUCCGACCGUGAAACAAUUGCUAAGGACUGGAUUGCUGUUGGUUUUUCCCCUUUUGGUGGCUUUGGUUGGUUGGGGUUUACAUUGGGAGCGAACUGUGACUUGUUUUAUAGCAACACUUCCUUCUAAGCCGGGCGCCGACGCCCGCGCUGUGCGUGGGGGGCGAAGCGCCCACCCUGCGCCGGAACAGGGAGAGAGGGGGGCUGCAAAGACGGUUCUCGAAGUCGGCAGGGUGCAUACAGCCCAGCCCCCCGCGGGUGCGGACAGGGGGACUAGACUGACCCCCACCCACACCAGAGACCCCUCCUACCUGUGGGGGGAAGGGGUCGCUGCCAAGUCAAGUCAGCUGCAGACACGCCAAUGAGUACUUAAUUACAGGGAAGAGAGAAAAGCGCGGUGCCCUUCAGAGCCCUCUCCGCCUCCUCAGCCCUAAGUCCCCGCCCGGGCUCCGGGUCUCCCCCUUUGUGUGGCCUGGACUCUCUCCCAGCGACAACUUUGGUGGGAUCCCAGAGGAAGGAGGUGGCCGGAGGAGGGGGUACGGAAAAGGAUGCUGGAAGAGAGAGACGCGAGCGUGAAGGACUAGAAAAACGAAUAAUGUGAUUCCAGGGACGGAACACCAACACCCCUCCAUUUCCCACCCCGGCGUCACCAGGGGACUAAAACUGUGGGCAUCUUCAGUUUAACGGACUUUUCGGAAAGCUGGGGCGGGAAAUGGCAGUUUGUGUCCCAGGGGUUCUUCCGCCUCUUCUCGCCUCCUCCGAAUGCAAACUCAGCCCCUCAGCCUCCCCCCACCCUCCGGGGUAACCGAGAACUCUGGGGACCGUGAAAACGUCCUUCCCCAAUCCGGCCGCCUGCGGACGCCCGGCUCCCGCGGGGCCGACGCUCUUGGGCGCCCGCAGCCUAACGCAGCCCCGCGGCGUCGGCUGCAGGAGCCCGCGCGCCCCUGGAGUCCUCCGUUGGCGUCUCCUGGGAUCGUGCGGGCCGGGUCCUCCCACUGCCCGCGAGGGAGGGCCGCAUCCCACCCCACGACCUGUGGGCUCGGCCGGCCGACCCUCUGCCCACGCGCAGCGAGAAGAGGCAAGUCGGGGUGUUCGCGGACUAGGACAAGGGGAGCCCGCGAUAAGCUCAGAGAAGCUGCGGAGGCCCGGGAAGAGGCCGGCCACGCGCCCUCGCGGCUCGGCUUCGCGUCCGGAACCCUCGACAACCCCCCGCGGGGACCCGGCCUCCGGCGCAAAGGAGUCGGCAUGAAAGUCUGGAAGGGGAUCCCCAGGAAGGGAUGGCACGGGUGUGGGAGCUGGAAUACAAUUGGGCCGCCGGGACGGCUCGCCUCCUGGGCUGGACGUGAAAGUCUUUUCCCUCCUUUCUGAAAACUUUUCUCAGGCGUCUUUCACUUGGUGUGAGGACCUGUCUCGGCCCGCCCUCCGGCCCCUCCCUCAGCCGCCGGGUCCCCAGUCCACCCGCCCUCGGGCCGGGGACGCGCGCGGAGCCGCCGCGCAGAAAGGCCGCCCGCGCGCCCGAGCCGCGCCUUAUAUCCGCGGAGGGCGGCGCCUGCGCCGGGCCGGCGCGGCGGCGCGGCCUUUGAAGUCCUGGCGGCUGCAGCUUUCAUCCUUUCUUUUUUCCCUUGCAGGCCCCUUUGUGUGACUAAAUUUGGAAAGAAUAUGGAUCCGAGCCAGUCUUUCCACGUGUGCUCCCAGCUCCCAGCUGAGAAGGCCAAGGGUUCUCUUCCGGGUAAGGAGACAGGGAGAAAGAUCAAAGAGUUUGGGGAGCUGGAUCUGAAAUGUGAAUUGAAAAUAAAAAUCAAGCCUGGACACAUUCCAGUUUCUAAAGCAAAAGCAACCCUCAGCAGAGGCCGUCUGGCUAGGACUCUUCUGCCUCUGCUUGCUAUACUCUUUCUUUGCCGCAACCAUUUUUGAGCACAUGGAGUAAAAUAAAGAAGACAUAGGGAAACAGUUUCUCCAGAUUUUGUUUUGCAGUAAUUUUAUUAGGAAAAUAUCUUGUUCAUAAUUGCCGUUAUGUGAAGUCAAUUUCUUCAGCCAUAAAUAUUAUCUUAUUUCAGUCUGCUUAGCGCUUUCUUCUGCGGCCACAUUUGGGGAGAGAACGUUGACACACGCGUGUGCACAUGUUGCUUGUGCACAGUGCUGCUUUUUCUACGCACCGUUCAGUGUGCCGUGUAGUCUAGAAAACCAGUGUUAAGACUUAUUUUACCAAAGCACUUACUAUCAAAACUGGUGUCUAUGAUUUGAUGUCCUCUUAUUGAUCGACUUUGGAAGUCUUUUCUGACACGCUGACUAGCCAGAAAGUUUGUGUCUUUAUAGUAAAAACAACAACAAAGAAAAACCCUCUAACGUCUCUUAUUGAAUGGACUUCUUGAGCAAUAUUCUGUUUUUCAGAACAAACCAACAUAAAGAGACAGCUUUGCAAUAGUGUGCUGCGAAGCGUCGAAAAUCCUGGGUUGGAGGUGGGUACCGCCACUUCCCCUCAUGCUGUGGUGACCUCAGGCAAGCCAUUUAACCUUGUCCAGGCUCAGUU